rnacentral:rRNA from 1 species
AGGCUGUCGGUAUAUUGGGCGUAAGCGCGCGCAGGUGGUUUCUUAGUCUGAUGUGAAAGCCCACGGCUCAACCGGGGAGGGUCAUUGGAACUGGGAGACUUGAGUGCAGAAGAGGAUAGUGGAAUUCCAAGUGUAGCGGUGAAAUGCGUAGAGAUUUGGAGGAACACCAGUGGCGAAGGCGACUAUCUGGUCUGUAACUGACACUGAGGCGCGAAAGCGUGGGGAGCAAACAGGAUUAGAUACCCUGGUAGUCCACGCCGUAAACGAUGACUGCUAGGUGUUAGGGGGUUUCCGCCCCUUAUUGCUGAGCCUAAGGCAUUAGGCACUCGGCCGGGGAAGUACGCCCGCAGGAUUGAAACUCAAAGGAUUUGACGGGGCCCCGCCCAAGCGGGGAACCAGGUGGUUUAUUUCAAGCCACCGCGAAAAACCUUACCAGGCCUUGACUUCCCAUUAAUCUCUGUAGAUAUAUGGUUUCCCCUUCGAACUCAACGAUAACAGGUGGUGGAUGGUUGUCAUCUCCUCGUGUCGAGAGAUGUUGUAAUAAGUCCCGCAACGAGCGCACCCCUUGAUCUUAGUCGCCAUCAUUUAGUGGGGCUCUCUAGGGUGACGGCCGGUGACAAACCGGAAAAAUGUGGAUAAGACGUCAAAUCCUCAUGCCCUUUAGGACGUGCUAUACACAUGCGCUACUGUGGACGAUACAAAGGGUUGCCCUCUCGAGAGAGGGCGCACUCCUAUAAAGUCGCUCACUCCUCGGAUUGGACUCUGCAUCUCCUCCACGUAACCCGAAAUCUCUAGUACUCGGGAACAACGUCCCGGGGUGACGUCUCCCCCCGGGUAAUAAAA